rnacentral:lncRNA from 1 species
AAGGGCCAUCGGACUGGGUAAAACCUAAAUUAACCGUUAUGCACUUGCGGGAAACUCCUUGCCAAGGGCCUAUGCACCCCCGGGAUUAGUUGGGGUUCGAAGAGACUCGGACAGGCGGUGCAAAUAGAAAAUAACAGUUGCCAUUAACGAUGGUUUGGAUUAAGGCCUAGUUUUUGUUUAUUACAAUCCGGUGUUUGUGAGAAAUCUUUUCUUCUUGGUUAGAGACUUGUAUGUCUGUUUAGGAUUAGCUGUGAGAUUUAGAAAAUCUCUAGUUUUUGUGAACCCCUAAUUAGCAUUAAAAGAUAAAUACUUAGUAUUUGAAUGAAAUGGACCUAAAUGUGAAAUAGUUGCAGAGGAUUCAUGUAGCCAAUCCUACUAACCCGUCAUUGAUGCGUAUUUGUUUAGUUUUUAUAGUUAUAAGUUACAACUUGCAGUACUGCAGGUACCAUGCUUUUAUGCGAGGCUGAAGAUACAUUGAUCCUAUAGUAGUUAGAGUAUGAUUGGCCAAGCUUCUAAAAACUGCAGAAUUCAUUUUAGAAGUAUUUUUGUCAAAAUUGCUUUUCUAAGUAGUACUUUUGGAGAGAAGUAGUUUUUGUUUGGCCAAUUCAUUUGAGAAGUAUUUUUUUUAAUUUUUUGAUAAAUAGAUUGUGUUUGGCCAAUCUUUCCAAAAACCGGUUUUGGGUGUCAAAUUACGAGAAAAGACAGUAUUAAGCUUCAUUUUACAAUUAGUAUAAUUUAAAUAGAGAAAUGAUUUUAAUAUUUUUCAUGAAAUACUUAAUUAAUUUUUUGUUUUAUUUUAGUAUAAUUUUGAAAAUAAUAUAUAUAUAUAUAUAUAUAUAUAUAUAUAUAUAUAU